CGUAUUUAAAAUUAAAACUGAUGG
rnacentral:piRNA from 1 species